CAUGUUGACAAAAGGACAAAGACCAAGGCCACCAAGAAGCACUCUCCAAACGUAAUAUUCAGUGUGUUUGCCACAUUGGACUAGGCACAGAUUCAGGAGUUCAAAGAGGCCUUUGACAUUAUUGAUCAGAAUAGAGAUUCUUUCAACAAGGAAGAUGUGCAUGAUAUGCUUGCUUCUCUCUUCAUCAGAAUCCAACUGAUGUAUACCAAGAUGCUGUAAGGAGUGAGGUUCUGGGCUUAUAAAUUUCACCACUGCCCUACUGUUUGGUGAGAAGUUAAAUAGCACAUAUCCUGAAGAUGUCAUCAGAAAUGCUUUAGCCUGCUUUGAUAAAGAAGCAACAGGAACCAUUCAGGAAGACUAUUUGAGAGAACUGCUGACAACAAUGGGAAGUGAAUGAGCUGUACAGAGAAGGUGCUAUUGACAAAAAAGGAAAUUUUAAUUACAUUGAGUUCACAUGUAGCCUUAAAUAUGGGGUGAAAGACAAAGAUGAUUGAA
rnacentral:lncRNA from 1 species